GCUAAUUUUUGUAUUUUUAGUAGAGGUGGGGUUUCAUCACUUUAGCCAGACUGGUCUCGAACUCCUGACCUCAGGUGAUCUGCCCACCUUGGCCUACCAAAAUGCUAGAAUUACAGUCAUGAGCCACUGUGCCCUGCCCCUACCCAACAUUCUGAUGGUAAACACUUAGGUAAUCACUAAGAAGUUCUGGACUUUCUCUAGUCCUUUAUUCCAAAUCCUCACCAGAAUCACCCUUAAUGCUCUGACCAUGGCAAUGCAGGCCUUUAUCUAGGUUGCUCCUUCAAAUUCUUCCAGGCUCUACCCAUUACCCCUACCCAGGUCCAAAGAUGCUUUCACAUUUUCAGGUAUUUGCUAUAGCAAUAGCCCCCUUUUGGCACCAGUUUUUGGUCUUAGUCUAUUUUCUGUUACUGUAACAGAAUACCAUAGACUGGAUAAUUUAUAAAGAAAAAGGUUAUUCAUCUCCUGAUUAGGGAGGCUGGGUAGUCCAAGAGCAUGGCACCUGCAUCUGGUAAAAGCCUUUUUGCUGUGUCUUAAUACUGCAGAGGGUAUCACAUGGCAAGAGGGCAAGAGCAAGAGAGCCAGGGAGAGCUCACUUUUAUAACAAAGCCACUCCUGAGAUGACAAACUCACACCCAUGGUAGUGACAUUAAUUUAUGGAUGGGAGCAGAGCCCUCGUUAACCUAUUAAUCUAUUCUUGAGGGCAGAGCCAACAUUAAUUUAUUCAUGAAGGAAGAGGGAUCAAAUUUUCAACACAUGAACUUUUGGGGGACACAUUCAAACCACAGCAAUCUAAUUCUAAAUUUUCAGCCCCUUGAAGGCAAAAUAUUUUUUUCUGAUUGGUCUUGGUCUCUUUUGCAGCACAAGGAAGGCAUUCAAUAAAUGAUAAUUGAAUAGACAGCUGGAAUGACAAAAGGACUAAUAAAUACAUACAUGAAAAACAUUGUACUCUCUGCUAAUAUUCUCUUGGGGCAGAUAAAUACUACAGGCAUGAUUUGACCCACCCAGAGCAGAGAAUAAAGGGUAGAAACCUAGGGUUAGAACAGUUGCCAGUGGGAGAAACCAAUGGCAGAGGACAUAGGCCUUGCACAUAGUAUAUGUUCAGAAAAUUAUGUUUGAAUUUUAUCUGAAUUGCAGAGUUUCAGACUAGGUUUGGGAUUUUCUGCACACAUAUACAAGGACAACAGAUUGGCCAAAAAAAAGCCAAGAAAUUAAUGUAUGAGACAGGGCCCUCCAUUCCAUGGCUAUACAGUAGCCCUAUCUCACUUUUGCCUCCUGAUGUCUAAAACCUUUUCAAAAGAUGAUGGUGAAAGAUAAAUAUUGAAAUACAAUUCCCCUAGGUGAUCGUACUAGAUAUUUAUGUUUUGGCUUCACAACAUCUAUUGCCCCUUCUGUAGGAGACAACUUCAACUUUCAUUUGGGGAUCCACUUCUCCCCAAUUUUAGCCCACAGAAUCUGGACCCAAAUUGCAAUAUAUGAUGCAGGCCUAAGACAAUUGGUGCAUCACAGUCCCUGGGCCAUAGUGACUUGUUCAAAGAUUGGCAUGUGACCUAGGCUAGUCCAAUCAGAAUGAAGUUUAGAACUUUGGCUGGACAUUCUAAACAAGAGUGUUCAUUCUUCUAUUGGAUUUGAACGUAGGAGGAUAUAGAGCCACGUGUUGCUAGCAGCCACUUUUGGGGUAUGAGUAAAGAGCCUUUCUCAAAAUAGUGCUACCUGACAGUGGAAAUGGGAAUGACUUGCCACAGCCCCUGCGUAGCUCAGCCCCUAAAGCCAAAAUUUUUUCUGGACUUUUCUUCUACCUGAUCCAGUAAAUUCCUUUUUGUGGUUAAGACCCAGUUUGGGUUUGAUUUUCUGUCACUUACAAUCAACAGAUUUGAGAGAGGAUUCCAAAUGUCUUGAAAAAGAGGUGAUCCAAUGGCUUGAAUUCACAAUAAAAAUAAAUGGAUAUAUCACACACUAUUGGUGCACCCUUCCAACAUUCUCUCUCUGCUCUCCUGGCAGGCGUGAGAACUGCAGCUUGAGGGGACAGUAAUCAUACCUGCUGAUGUCUUUCUAUCUCAACUGCCCACAUAUCUGGGAACAUUCUCUGGCCAUAGGAGCAUAUUCAUCCCAUACACAUCCCAGAAUGGAUAGUUAAUGUCCCCAGAAACAAACUUUAGCCACUGAGGGGUAAAAGUUGGCUUUCCUUCAGUGGGGCCAUUCUGAGGUGGGUUUCACAGAGCAUACCUGAUGGAAUGGAGUCCUGAUUGUCAGCAUUAACUCACUCAUUGUCCUUCCUCUCUCUUCUGUCUUUUUCUUUCUGUAUGAUACCUGAAAUCAUCUCCCAGAUAAAAAUCUUGCACCCUAAACUUUAUCUCAAUGUCUGUUUUGAGGGGAGCCCAAACUAAUAAAAUGAUUGAUAGCUAUUGUUUCUAGAAAACAGUGGAAGGAGGAAAAGAAUACUGCAAGGGGAAGGAAAUGCCAUGAGAAAAUUCGAGCACAGGAAAGAUACUGGAGCCAUCUUCUGUAAGGAGUAACCCACUGCCCAAUCGUUAGAGGAUGGAAUUAGUAUUUGUCACUUAAAGCAUUCCCUUCUCUAUUAUUAUGAAAAACAGCACAAGAUUUGGAGCACUGAGAUCUGAAACUGACUUUCAGCUCUACCCCUUCCUGUUACUGUCAACCAUCAGCAGCUACAUGUUGCAGAUGAUCCUAUGGGGAGGCCCAUGUGGCAGAGAACUAAAGGAGGCCUCUGGCCAGCAGCCAGUGAAGAGCUCAGGCACUCUGUUAAAAGCCCAUGAAGAAUGGAAUCCCGACAAAAAUCUCUUGAGUAAACUUAGAAUAAGAUCCAUCCCCAGUCAAGCCUGAAGAUGAGACUGCAGCCCAGCCAGCACCUUGAUUAGGCCUUGUUAGGGACCAGAGAACUCAGCUAAGCCAUGCCUAGAUUCUUGAUGCACAGAAACUGUGAGAUAAUGACUAUGGGUUAGUUUAAGUCACUAAUUUGGAGAGAGUAAUUUAUUAAACAGUAAUAAAUAACUAGUACAGCAAUGUUCCUACACAUAUACAUCUAUAGAACUUAGGAAAUCCACAAUAAAAUAACCAACUCAACAAUGGAAGUUACAGUUUUGAAGAAUGACCAUCCAUCAAGAUGGGGCAAGCAACCAGAAGAAAAUUUUUACAAUUAUCCAUUUUUGAAACUUGAAAUUUAUGUACUUCCUUGUUUGAUGAUGCAUUAGCAUGAAGUGCUUACCAUAAUAAAAGGUUUUCCAUCAUGAUGUAGAAUAUUUUUUAAAAUCAUUGGAGGCAGCAGAGGAAGUAGACUUUCACAUUCAGUGAUGACUUAGGACUGUCCUUUGUAUUCAAUCAUAAAGCUUUU
rnacentral:lncRNA from 1 species